GGUGCGUAGAUUAUGGCAUUCUAGCACCAAUGUGUAUUAAGUGCACUAUUUUUGAACGCACUUUCUUUUUGUUGCCUUGCUUGUAAGUUAAUGGAGUGUUUUUGUUCUGCUGGUGUAACGUUUGUUGAGAUUCUUCUGUGUUCCCCUGUUUAGGGUGAGUAUCUAAGGCAUAACUGCGUUUCGCAGUUGUUUCGAUGCCAUAGUGAUAGUCUACUAGACCUUUCUAGUUUGUCUUUACUUUGUCUUUACAGGGAGUUAGUUUGGGAUUGGAAGUCUACGCUGGUGACUAGAGACAGCAGUGUGUUGUGUUGUGGUUUUCGAACAUUAAUGUGUACGUUGUGGGACAGCAAGGUGUAGAAUUUAUUAUUUAAUUAACAAAUUCACAGUAUUAAAAUGUUUCCAAAUUCAAUGUCAUUACUCCAUUAGUUUGUCAUCAUACUUAUAUUUAUAUCAUUAAAUAUUUACAUUGUUACCAGUGAGUCAUUUAUUUAUUGUAAGCACGAAGGUGCCUGGUUGAAUGUCAGGGGCCCGGGCAAACGAGCUAAAGCCUUAACAUAACCCUGACAGUUGGGGGCUCGAGUCCGGCUGUGACUACCAGUCACAGAACUAUAAUUUCAAUCAUUACAUAAGUUUUAGUUACUUGAUUAUGUAGCAGCAGUGUCUACAAUCUAAUAAUUGUUUACAUAGUAUUGCAUCACAAUCUACUGUACUAAUAUUGAAUUGUGUACCAUUGGCAACGAUGUAUAUUGAAAGUAGCAGAUAAAUACAUCCUUUGUGAUAUAAGUGAUAUAACUAUAUAACUAUACUGUACUAUAUACUAUAUAACUAUUGUAUUGCAAGAUUGAAAUGUAUUUGUAUUUUCUUGUUUUCUAUAUUGUGCUUCACCUUCGAACGAGUGUCUUCUCGCUCCCGACAACAAGCGAACGUGAGUGUAAAGUGGCUGUAAAGUGGUACCUGUACUGAAGUCUGAGGCUACUAGUAUUGUGUUGGAUUGUCCUGUGGCAACUAUAUUUCGACGCUGUGGCCUGAGUGAGGCACUUUCCUCCGACGUGGGAUACUGCACAGAUAGACUGAUGCCUCAGACAAAGGGAUCUCUGGCAUUCUUAGCCAGUGUGUGAAUGGUAUGUUGCAUCCUAUAAAAUUUGUGAGCCGUAAGUUGUUGCCUCGGGAGCAGAAGUAUUCUAUCAUUGAACGGGAAGGAUUGGCCAUUGUAUAUGCAAUAAAAAAAUUGGACAGGUAUCUGGCCGGAAAAAAAUUUCAUCUCCAGACUGACCACAAGGCUUUAUAUUACCUUGGAAGCACUAACUUUACCAAUGCACGUAUUACAAGAUGGGCGCUGAUGUUGCAGGAUUAUUCCUUUGAUGUUGUUCAUGUCAAAGGGGAGGACAAUCUGCUUGCUGAUCUGUGUUCAAGAUUGCUAUAGACUUUCAAAUACGCAGCUACAUGAGCUACAUACUUAUGUAUUGUUUUUAUACAUGUCUUAUGCAUUUUAUGGUUCCAAUGUAUACAUUGUUGUUUGAAAAUGUUUGCACUUUAUGUUAGAUGGUAUUAUGUUGCAUUUAGUAUUAUUGACAUUAAUUUGCUGAUUAUGCAUUUUAAAUUUGAUUGUUUGGUAGAUUGUGAUUUUGUGAAUGGUUCAUAGUGUAAUGUGGAUACUUUGGUAAAAAGUGUUAUUGGUAAUUUUUCUUCUAAGUUGUUAUGUUUGGAAGAGUGAUGUUAAUGCGGAUGCAUUUUCCUAGAUGGAUGUGCUUACCUUGUAGCUGCAAUGAUAUCUUCUUACUUUUCUUUCAGUUUGAGGUACGGAAACUGGUCCAUACUUUGUAAGAACCAGUUUGGGGGGAGAGGGGGAAUGUCGGUGCGUAGAUUAUGGCAUUCUAGCACCAAUGUGUAUUAAGUGCACUAUUUUUGAACGCACUUUCUUUUUGUUGCCUUGCUUGUAAGUUAAUGGAGUGUUUUUGUUCUGCUGGUGUAACGUUUGUUGAGAUUCUUCUGUGUUCCCCUGUUUAGGGUGAGUAUCUAAGGCAUAACUGCGUUUCGCAGUUGUUUCGAUGCCAUAGUGAUAGUCUACUAGACCUUUCUAGUUUGUCUUUACUUUGUCUUUACAGGGAGUUAGUUUGGGAUUGGAAGUCUACGCUGGUGACUAGAGACAGCAGUGUGUUGUGUUGUGGUUUUCGAACAUUAAUGUGUACGUUGUGGGACAGCAAGGUGUAGAAUUUAUUAUUUAAUUAACAAAUUCACAGUAUUAAAAUGUUUCCAAAUUCAAUGUCAUUACUCAAUUAGUUUGUCAUCAUACUUAUAUUUAUAUCAUUAAAUAUUUACAUUGUUA